rnacentral:rRNA from 1 species
GAUGAACGCUGGCGGCGCGCCUAAUACAUGCAAGUAGAACGCUGAAGGAGGAGCUUGCUCUUCUGGAAGAGUUGCGAACGGGUGAGUAACGCGUAGGUAACCUGCCUCUUAGCGGGGGAUAACUAUUGGAAACGAUAGCUAAUACCGCAUAAAAGUCGACAUUGCAUGAUGUUGACUUGAAAGGUGCAACUGCAUCACUAAGAGAUGGACCUGCGUUGUAUUAGCUAGUUGGUGAGGUAACGGCUCACCAAGGCGACGAUACAUAGCCGACCUGAGAGGGUGAUCGGCCACACUGGGACUGAGACACGGCCCAGACUCCUACGGGAGGCAGCAGUAGGGAAUCUUCGGCAAUGGGGGCAACCCUGACCGAGCAACGCCGCGUGAGUGAAGAAGGUUUUCGGAUCGUAAAGCUCUGUUGUAAGAGAAGAACGAGUGUGAGAGUGGAAAGUUCACGCUGUGACGGUAUCUUACCAGAAAGGGACGGCUAACUACGUGCCAGCAGCCGCGGUAAUACGUAGGUCCCGAGCGUUAUCCGGAUUUAUUGGGCGUAAAGCGAGCGCAGGCGGUUAGAUAAGUCUGAAGUUAAAGGCUGUGGCUUAACCAUAGUACGCUUUGGAAACUGUUUAACUUGAGUGCAGAAGGGGAGAGUGGAAUUCCAUGUGUAGCGGUGAAAUGCGUAGAUAUAUGGAGGAACACCGGUGGCGAAAGCGGCUCUCUGGUCUGUAACUGACGCUGAGGCUCGAAAGCGUGGGGAGCAAACAGG